AAUCCUCAACCCCGAUCGAUUUGUUUCGACCUCGGGGCUUGGACUUGGAGCGUGCUGGCGUGAGUCGGCUCCUCUCAAAUGGAUCGGCGGAAUUCAAUCCUUGGCUUGCGGACGUCAGUGUGAUAAUCACGUUGCGCUGUCGUUUGAGCCGUAAGGGUCCGCUUACAAUGGUCUUCGGACAACUUCAUUUAA
rnacentral:misc_RNA from 1 species